rnacentral:rRNA from 1 species
AAUUUUGGACAAUGGGGGAAACCCUGAUCCAGCCAUCCCGCGCGUAUGAUUAAGGCCUUCGGGUUGUAAAGUACUCUUGGCAGAGAAGAAAAGGUAUCCCCUACUACGGGAUACUGCUGACGGCAUCCGCAGAAUAAGCACCGGCUAACUACGUGCCAGCAGCCGCGGUAAUACGUAGGGUGCAAGGGUUAAUCGGAAUUACAGGGCGUAAAACGUGUAUAGGCGGUUCGGAAAGAAAGAUGUGAAAUCCCCGGGGUCAACCUUGGAACUGCAUUUUUAACUGCCGAGCUAGAGUAUGUCAGAGGGGGGUAGAAUUCCACGUGUAGCAGUGAGAUGCGUAGAUAUGUGGAGGAAUACCGAUGGCGAAGGCAGCCCCCUGGGAUAAGACUGACGCUCAGACACGAAAGCGUGGGGAGCAAACAGG